rnacentral:rRNA from 1 species
UGAAAGCCUGGGGUGCCCCGCGAGGGGAGCCCUAGCACAGGUGCUGCAUGGCCGUCGUCAGCUCGUGCCGUGAGGUGUUGGGUUAAGUCCCGCAACGAGCGCAACCCCCGCCGUUAGUUGCCAGCGGUUCGGCCGGGCACUCUAACGGGACUGCCCGCGAAAGCGGGAGGAAGGAGGGGACGACGUCUGGUCAGCAUGGCCCUUACGGCCUGGGCGACACACGUGCUACAAUGCCCACUACAAAGCGAUGCCACCCGGCAACGGGGAGCUAAUCGCAAAAAGGUGGGCCCAGUUCGGAUUGGGGUCUGCAACCCGACCCCAUGAAGCCGGAAUCGCUAGUAAUCGCGGAUCAGCCAUGCCGCGGUGAAUACGUUCCCGGGUCUU